ensembl:lncRNA
CUGUAAGUCCAGCCGGUACAGCAUGGAAUCUGUUUGGUAAUUACUACACAAUAUGCUGUACCUAGUAGGGUUAUCACUGCUGUUUUGACGGGAAUACAUAAUGGUGAGUUUAUAGAUUAACAGGUUGAACAGGUUGAUCCGUGUUUGUGUUUGUGUUUGUGUUGGUUGCCUUUCCAGGGUGUAACUUUAAACCUCAUUCUUAAGAGUCACAACAUGGCUGUGAAUAGGUCCGUUGUUGUCGGUGGCGUGUGGCACUCAAGCCCCUCCCCUUUCCACAGUCCUGUGAAGCAGGUGCAUAACUGGAUGGACGCAUUGUGUUAGUGCGUGGAUUAUUGUGACGCAACAGUAAGUGUUCCAACAGCGCGCUGUAAAUGACACUGAGAGCACUGCGUCUGAGGACACUCCCCGAGGCGCGCCUUUCCUGACAAACAAAAGAAACUGGAAAAAAAGAAGAAAAAUCAAUUCCUUUCAAAAGCUUCUGGGACAUUAUCAUUAUUUGGAAGGAUAGGACGGCACAGAGGGCCCUUCUUCGUCGGGUCUAAAGCCAAUUAAUUCUCUGUUCCAGAGGUGGACAAUCGUUGCCGGGCCGAGGUAAAGUAAAUGUAUGCCACAUCCACCUGCUGACGUUUCAAAGGGCGUGCCACACGCGCAUGUGUCACCUGUAGAUCCUGGACGAGAAAGCCAAAAGGGAACUGGCACAACAGCCUGACACAGAAACAAUGAGGAAAAUGCACGCCUGAUGUUUCUGGUUUGUUUUAGUAUUUGGCCACGGAAAGCUAUGUUUCGAAAAAAUGAAGACGCAAGGAUGAAAGCUUGGGGGGUUCAAUCGGAUGGAUCUUCAAGUCGGCACGUGUCCGCGUCCUCUGUCAGCACAGGCUUCCUGUAAUGAGACCUCUGCUGCUCCUUCCCCUCCAUUCAUUACUACUGAAAAUGUCUCGACAUCCGGUAAAAGCUGACAGAAUCAUCUCACACACUGACAUACCAGACAUAUCAGCAAUGCUACUUGAUGACUCUAGUUUAUAAAAUUAUCAAAAUGAUCGUUCAUUUUACUUGAGGAUGGAUGGACAUAUAGUGAUGGUUUUACAUGUAGAAUAUAACUAGUGUAUAAGUAUAUGUUAUUUUACAAUUAGAAUCAUCCCAACCUGAAGCUAUUAUGAACGUUGAUCUUAAAUUGUCCUUUACGGUCAGUUAAAACCACAUUCUGUCUUUCUUCUUACGACAGCGCACUACUU